CAGCAGCCACGGUAAUACGUAGGGUGCGAGCGUUAAUCGGAAUUACUGGGCGUAAAGCGUGCGCAGGCGGUUAUAUAAGACAGAUGUGAAAUCCCCGGGCUCAACCUGGGACCUGCAUUUGUGACUGUAUAGCUAGAGUACGGUAGAGGGGGAUGGAAUUCCGCGUGUAGCAGUGAAAUGCGUAGAUAUGCGGAGGAACACCGAUGGCGAAGGCAAUCCCCUGGACCUGUACUGACGCUCAUGCACGAAAGCGUGGGGAGCAAACAGGAUUAGAUACCCGCGUAGUCCCUGUCUCUUAUAA
rnacentral:rRNA from 1 species